GAAGAAGAAAAUUCUAACUUUCUAUUUUUGCUCUCUAUCAUUUCUUCAACAUACGAAUAAAAGUAAGUGUUUCCUCUUCUUCUCUAUCAUAUCUUUAUAAAUCGAUUUAUACUGACCAUGUUAAGAUGUCAGGCUCGACCGACUUGAAGAGGAAGCGUCCAAUAUAAGAGGACUAUGGACGAACAACAUAAGAAGGUUUUAAGAAGGGAAAAGGACAACUCGAGAGAAUUACAAGGUGAUCUCCAUAUGGUAAAGGAUCAAAUGAAAACAAAAAAAAAUUCAAGGCACUCAGCACAACUUGAAGUAAACUCUAUUUCUGAACAAAUAGAUUUACUAGAAGACUUGAAGGCUGAGAAGGAGAAACUCAAAACCAAGCUCCUCCUUGCGGAGGAUGAAUUAUUCAAUGUAAAAGUCCUACCUAUUGAUUGGGAUCAAAUUGGGAGAAAUAUAUAUCUCGCUAACCAUUGGCCUUCUAAAUGAAAACUUUAAAUAGUUUCAUUUUCUGUUUGUUUUUGGUUCAAACAUUGCUUGGAUCAUGUUUCCAGCUGUUAAUCUAGCUUUUACUCUUUUGAUUGCGAAUAUUAUUUUUGACUUUAAUAUGUUUAUGUUUUAGUUUAGUUUUCUCUCACCUUCCUCUUUGCAUGUCUUCUCCCUCUUACAUGUACAUCUCAGAAGGGGUCGAAGUGCACGUCCUCCAGAGACGAAUUUUCAAGUUGGUGCGAUACGUUUGGUUUGGAGUAUGAAAAAUUAUUUAUAUGGUCGUGUUCGGUGGUGCUUUAAUGAACACUUUAGGCCAACAAUGGUAAAUCUUAUCGUCUUUACUAUGAAAUUGACCCUUUAGGGCUAGACGGAUGGGAUAUUCCCCGAUGAAUGAUGAUGUAGCCAAUACAAUCUUCGAAGCUUCUCUUCUUCCAUUUAAUAUAUUAGAUUUGCACGUGAAAAUGUUUUGUUUAUUCAUAAGAUAUAGCAAUUAGGAGUUGUAAUUUUCCUGCCUUUUAAAUCAGAAAGUGUAAUGGACAAGCUGUUGA
rnacentral:lncRNA from 1 species